ACUCAAAUGAAUUGACGGGGACCCGCACAACCAGUGGAGCGUGUGGUUCAAUUUGAGACGAAGCAAAAAACCUCACCAGGGAUUGACAUAUUUAUGUAAGCUUUAUGAAAGUAGAGCCCUCCCGCAAGGGACAUUUUUACAGGUGUUGCAUGGCUGUCGUCAGCUCGUGCCGUGAGGUGUUCCAUUAAGUUGGGAAACGAGUGCAACCCCCAUCCAAUGUUAAAUAUUCAUUGGAGACCGCCCCUCAUCUUUGUUUGCAAACAAAAGUUUGUUGAUAGGGAUGAGGGGAGGAAGGAGGGGCGGACGUCAAGUCAGCACGACCCUUAUACCCUGGGCUACACACACCCUACAAUGCCGAAUAACAACGGGUUGCAAGUCCGCGAGGACAAGCUAAUCCCUAAAAUUUCGGCUCAGUUCAGAUUGGAGUCUGAAACCCGACUCCAUGAAGGCGGAAUUGGUAGUAAUCGUGGAUCAGCAGGCCACGGUGAAUACGUUCUCGGGUCUUGCACACACCGCCCGU
rnacentral:rRNA from 1 species